rnacentral:rRNA from 1 species
AUUGAACGCUGGCGGCAUGCCUUACACAUGCAAGUCGAACGGCAGCACGGGAGCAAUCCUGGUGGCGAGUGGCGAACGGGUGAGUAAUAUAUCGGAACGUGCCCGGUCGUGGGGAUAACGUAGCGAAAGCUACGCUAAUACCGCAUACGAUCUACGGAUGAAAGCGGGGGAUCGCAAGACCUCGCGCGAUUGGAGCGGCCGAUAUCAGAUUAGGUAGUUGGUGAGGUAAAGGCUCACCAAGCCGACGAUCUGUAGCUGGUCUGAGAGGACGACCAGCCACACUGGACUGAGACACGGCCCAGACUCCCUACGGGAGGCAGCAGUGGGAAUUUGGACAACGUGGGCGCGAAGCCUGAUCCAGCAAUGCCGCGUGCAGGAU